AAACUUUGCAAUGUGCGAAAGCACGACAAGGUUAAUCCGAGUGAUUUGUGCUAAACGAAUCUUUUGUUAGUCCUAGAAACACUAACGAAUAAGGGGUGGGCAAGUUCUGGUGUCAGCCGCCGCGGUAAAACCAGCACCUCAAGUGGUCAGGAUGAUUAUUGGGCCUAAAGCAUCCGUAGCCGGCUCUGUAAGUUUUCGGUUAAAUCUAUACGCUCAACGUAUAGGCUGCCGGGAAUACUGCAGAGCUAGGGAGUGGGAGAGGUAGACGGUACUCGGGAGGAAGGGGUAAAAUCCUUUGAUCUUUCGAUGACCACCUGUGGCGAAGGCGGUCUACCAGAACACGUCCGACGGUGAGGGAUGAGAGCUGGGGGAGCAAACCGGAUUAGAUACCCGGGUAGUCCCAGCUGUAAACUAUGCAAACUCAGUGAUGCAUUGACUUGUGGUCAAUGCAGUGCUGCAGGGAAGCCGUUAAGUUUGCCGCCUGGGAAGUACGUACGCAAGUAUGAAACUUAA
rnacentral:rRNA from 1 species